rnacentral:tRNA from 1 species
AAGAAUAUAGCAUCUCCCUUACACCGAGAAGUCAUCCGUGCAAAUCGGAUAACUC